rnacentral:rRNA from 1 species
AUACGGAGGGUGCAAGCGUUACUCGGAAUCACUGGGCGUAAAGGAUGCGUAGGCUGGAUGUCAAGUUGGAAGUGAAAUCCUAUGGCUUAACCAUAGAACUGCUUCCAAAACUGGCAACCUAGAGUGAGGGAGAGGCAGAUGGAAUUAGUGGUGUAGGGGUAAAAUCCGUAGAUAUCACUAGGAAUACCGAUUGCGAAGGCGAUCUGCUAGAACUCUACUGACGCUAAGGCAUGAAAGCGUGGGGAGCAAACAGGAUUAGAAACCCUAGUAGUCC